GAUAAGGCUAAACACACACAAUAAACCCUAAUAAAAAUGUUUGCUGCACCACGAGAAGCAUUACAAGCAAGUAAAUAACACAAAUAUGCACAGCAGUAGUAACCUGCAAGAUAGGCAGCUAAAAAUGAUGAUGAUGAUGAUGAUGAUGAUGAUGAUGAAACUGAGCAAAAGAUCAUUGUGCAUCCAGUACUAUUGUUUAUAGAUUUCCAAACAGUUCACCUUGUUUCCUUUUAUCAACAGGACAAAGACAGUGCACAUGAACAGUUCAGCCGUCAUCUCACGAGACCUCCCCCUGACUACAAACAAUCCAGGAGUAUGGUGGGCCUUCACAGAGGAAAUCUCUUCACAGGUCAACCCUCAACACAGCAAACCAACAGUGGCCCUGGUAGUGAUGUGCAGUCAAUGCCCUGUCACCUCACCAACACCUCAAAGAUGAGCUCCUCACCAUCAGACGACCGAUUUGGGACCAACUGUAUCCCCAGCUCAUGUCUAAGCCAAUUUCAAUCCAAUAACAGUCAAAAUAAGUCUAACUUUUUGGGAGUAAAUUCACAAGGGAAUUCUUUUGGACUGAGUAAUGUACAGCAUGGGAGAUCUGAGUUGCAUUCGGGACAGGGUGGGUUAAUGUCUAAUGUUAACAUGGGAUGGGGGUCAUCUAGCAAGCAAGUGACUUCGGGGAUAAGGCGACUACCCAAUCCCAACCAUCCCCAAAUGGACCUACCUAAUCUCCCUUACCAACAGAGGCACUUGGGACCGCCGAAUCAGGUAGCACCAGAUAUGGGCAUGCUCCGGCUAAGGAAGCAAACCCAAGACCAAAUCAACCACUGAUGAACCACUCCACACAUUCAUCUCCAGAGCAGAGGGUACCAGCGGCGGGCGGAUUCGGAGAACCGAGUUCGAGUAGCUUCCAGAGUAACCGUGGGAACCAGCUGACAUUUGAUUUCUUACCCGAAGGCGACAAUACCGUUCCAGGCAUUAACACAGAUUCAGACUUCAUAGACUCCUUGCUCAAAUCCGGGUCGGGGAAUGAUGACUGGAUGAAAGAUAUAAACCUGGAUGAGAUUCUGGGAGGUCAUUCUUAAUUUUGUUCCUUUUUUUUUUUACAGAGAAUAUGCCCAGUGACAUGUACAUAGUGUAAUGUGUGUCAUUCAAGUAUAUUGCCAUGCUAUGUAUUGAAGUUGUGUUCUUUCUAGUAUCUUUGUUUCAAUAUAGGCCCGUGUUUGUCCAGGACGUUCUUUUUAUUAUAAUCUAGCUGCCUCUUGUCGUUAAAUAUAGUGAACAGCCACACUGUGAAAUCAUAAUAAUUUGUGAUGCUGACAAUGCGCUUUUGGCCUCAUAUUUUCAUAGACAUGGUUAUUUUGCUAACACAUGCACAAAUAUGGCUUUCUAAUGUUUAAUGUCCUAAUGCUUUCAUUUUUAUUGAAUUUGAUACAAUUUGGAAAAAUGUACCAAUUUCCCUGUGCUAUUUAAUAACUAUAUGACAGUACAUGUAUAUAAUAAAAUUGAUUUUGGGCUUUGAGCAUUUAACUUCAUUUUGACCCAUUUAGUCAGAUUAUAGCCUACUGUAAUAUAUAGGAUUAGUCACAUGGUUUA
ensembl:lncRNA